AAGCUCUUACCUUUCUUACUCUCAUCUCUAGACCUCCUUCUCUCCCUCCCUUCUACCCUUCUCUCCAAGUGGCCAUGGCUGGUCUCCCUCUUUCUACCUUCUCUCUUUCUCCUUGCCUUUCUACAAUUAAGCUCUAAAACCAUAGACUGUCUCUGCUCAUCAAGGCCCGCUGUACUUGAAAGAUGGGAUGGGCUUUCCCCUAAAGAGCUGCUUCUAACCUCCCAACGGAAGGCCUUCCUGUGCUCCAGCAACUGACAGAACCAAGAACUCUUGCCCUCAUGAGAACUGUCCAGCGCCCCCUCUCUCCCUGCCCUCUCCUUCCUUUGGCCCCAGAGACCUCAGACUGCUCCUUGUCUACCCCCCACUGGACUAGGGUUCCCUGGCUUCCCAUAGCCAGACACCCACCCGGCGCCACUUGGAAAGCAUGCAGCAGUCCUCCGGCAUCCACCCGCCCAGAGCACCAGAACUCCGGUGGGACUCAGGUUUUCCCCCACCUCCUUUAGAGAACUGAUCUAAUAUGGAAACAAUUUGUUCUAUACUUCAAGUGAAAGAAUACUUAUUGAUUAAUGCUGCAUUGGAGGUCAUCACUGGGGAUAUUAUCCAAUGAAGACAUUCUCAUGACUGGACACUGAAGAUUUACCAUUUUGUAACAUUCAGUUGCGACUCUCGGGAAAAGCAGACAAUCAAGCAUGGACAAGUGGUAGUAGUCUUUCAUUCACAUAUAUUUUAAGAUUUCUUAAGUGGCUUAAUAUACUGAAUGCAUAUAGAACUGAAAUUAAAUUGUGGGUCUUGC